AAAAAUUUUCUUUGAUUCUACAUAAUUUUUUAUAUGUUGCAGUAAUGUUUUAAAUUUUGGAACUCUGUCUGUUAUAUACCUUUCAUACACUAGAACACAAAAUUAUGGUGGGAUGUACAACCUUAAAUCUGUUGUAGCAUGUAGUGUGAUACUUUGUACCCAAUUUUGCAACUAAACAUCACCUUUUGGUUUUUUUUCCUAUGAUGAAUUGUAGAAGUUUUUGUUUCUAUUACAUGUCAAAGAAAAAAUUGUAGUCAUUAUAAAAAAAAAUCCAACCCUGUUAUACUUAAAGGAUUGACUAAGAUUAUUAUAAUUUUGAUUCAGUGUAAAGGGAUGGAACGAUGUUUAAAACUUGAACCUUUUGAAAUUGCUCUCAAGGAAAGACACUUUCUAUUAUCAUUGUUAUUUGUACAUCUGUAAAAAAUUGAUUCUUUGUUUUACACAUUAUCUUGGGAAUUUUUACUUUCAUUAAUCGAAUAAUAAUUCUUUUUACACUUGUUUUAAAAAAAAUCAGUCUUGAUGUACAAUUUUCAGGAAAUAAAAUCCUCAACACAG
rnacentral:sRNA from 1 species